CUAACAGGAUUCCCCUAGUAACUGCGAGUGAAGCGGGAAAAGCUCAAAUUUAAAAUCUGGUGGUCUUUGGCCAUCCGAGUUGUAAUUUAGAGAAGCGUCUUCCGCGCUGGACCGUGCACAAGUCUCCUGGAAUGGAGCSUCACAGAGGGUGAGAAUCCCGUCUUUGGCACGGACGCACCAGGGCUUUUGUGAUGCGCUCUCGAAGAGUCGAGUUGUUUGGGAAUGCAGCUCAAAAUGGGUGGUGAACUCCAUCUAAAGCUAAAUAUUGGCGAGAGACCGAUAGCGAACAAGUACCGUGAGGGAAAGAUGAAAAGCACUUUGGAAAGAGAGUGAAACAGUACGUGAAAUUGUUGAAAGGGAAACGCUUGAAGUCAGUCGCGUCGACCGAGACUCAGCCUCGCCUCGGCUUGGUGUACUUCUCGGCCGACGGGUCAGCAUCAAUUUCACCCCUUGGAUAAUGGCGAGGGAAAUGUGACACCUUUACGGUGUGUUAUAGUCUCUCGUCGCAUGCGAGGGUCGGGAUUGAGGAACUCAGCACGCGCCUUUGGGUGUCGGGGCUUUGCCCACGAAACGUGCUUAGGAUGUUGGCGUAAUGGCUUUAAACGACCCGUCUUGAAACACGGACCAAGGAGUCUAACAUGCCUGCGAGUGUUCGGGUGGAAAACCCGUGCGCGCAAUGAAAGUGAAAGUUGGGACCUCUGUCGUGGAGGGCACCGACGCCCGGACCAGACCUUCUGUGACGGCUCUGCGGUAAAGCAUGUAUGUUAGGACCCGAAAGAUGGUGAACUAUGCCUGAAUAGGGUGAAGCCAGAGGAAACUCUGGUGGAGGCUCGUAGCGAUUCUGACGUGCAAAUCGAUCGUCAAAUUUGGGUAUAGGGGCGAAAGACUAAUCGAACCAUCUAGUAGCUGG
rnacentral:rRNA from 1 species